UACGGAGGGUGCAAGCGUUAAUCGGAAUUACUGGGCGUAAAGCGCACGCAGGUGGCUGAGCGAGUCGAUUGUGAAAGCCCUGGGCUUAACCUGGGAAUUGCAGUCGAUACUACUCAGCUAGAGUAUGGGAGAGGGUAGUGGAAUUCCCGGUGUAGCGGUGAAAUGCGUAGAUAGUCGGGAGGAACAUCAGUGGCGAAGGCGGCUACCUGGCCCAAUACUGACACUCAGGUGCGACAGCGUGGGGAGCAAACAGG
rnacentral:rRNA from 1 species